GGUAAGUGGGAAGUUAGCUAGUGCCCUUGUUCAGAGUGUAUGUGUGGAGUCAAAAAUACCCCUAACCGUGGAGGCAGCGGGGCACAGGGUUUACACUACGCUGGUCGGAAACUCAGCGUCGGUUCUUUACACAGGUCCGCAUAAGCGGGCAUGACUGGGCGACCUCAUCAAGGUCCCUCUCUGGGCAAUAGCCUUAGAGCCAUGUUUGAAUGGGG